AUUCUUCCUAAAAUAUAAUUGUAAGAAUUCCUUUUUGUAUAGCUUUCAGAACAACCUUUGAAGUCUCCGAGGAAGGCGUGAACAGGGCUCUGGGAAGGCAGUUGGGAGCCUGGGUUUCUGGCUGCUGGCCUCUGCUGAUACACAUGAGGUUCUGUAGCAAAUCAUUGAGACUUUCAAGGUCUCAAGUUCUUCGUCUAGAAGAAGUAAAGUUAACAAUAUCCACUUCUAAUUAUUGGAGGAGAGAGUAAAUGAUGUGUCUAUAAAGUACCCAGUGAAUAGUGUGCACUGAACAGUGAAGACUUUCCUCCCUUCCACCACUGAUAUGAAAUGCCAAUAGAGCAAUUAGGGAGUCAACUGUGGCCAGUUGGGACAGGUAGAUGGUUUUGAAUUCCUCCACUCCCAGAAUGUCUUGUGUGUUUCCAGGAGUCUGGAAUGACCCUUCCAUUCUGCCCUGUUCUACCUUGAUCAGAUCCUUAUCUGGCAAAAAUCUUUUAUCCUGCAAGACAGAGUUGAAAUAUAAGGACCUCAAGGAAUUGCUUCUGGGCGUUCAUUCAGCUUGGGGCUUGCUCUUCAAUUUUGAGUUGAUUUCCCUCUUGCUUUGGGUUGUAAUUAGCUCACCUUGGCGUUUCAUUCCAUCUAGGCAAUUAUCACACAAUACUUUCCAGAACUUUACUUUUGUGGAGAAUGGGGAGCAUCCUGUCCCCUGAACUCAUAUCUCCAUCUGGGGCAACACCUACUUCCAUCUGUGGGGUCACUCGGUGCUUCCCAGGACAGGGGGAGAAGAUUAUCUAGUUGGCAAUGCUGGGAACAAGACUGAACAUAAGGGACAAUUUAUCCAUUAGGCACAGUAGCUAGAGUCCCAGAUGCUUUAUAAAGUGCACAGAAAAUGUUUUAGCUUAUUUAAAAAUCUGUAGAAAAGAUCCUUUUAAAUCAAAGAAAAUGUUUUAAAUAUAGUAUUAAUGACAUUCAUCUAAUUCAUAUAACUUUAUGGAAAAGGGGGACCACAAAAAACUGACCUACGAAAAUACAAGGCAUGUGAGGUUCAGUCUGGUUUCUGCUCUUUCCCCCAGCAGCUGCCUGUCUGUAGGAAGCAAGGUCUGCCUUACUAGGCAUUAGGCAAGAGCACAGCCCUAGACAGCAUUGUACGGUGGCUGAGAAGAAAAAGCCAAUGUUGCUGCACGUCCCAAGCCAGGCCUUUGAACUCAGUCCCAUCAGUAAGCGAGGUAAUAUAAUACACUGGCCUCCUUCUGCCUGGCUCCUCUGCCUGCCCUUCUCGCUUCUUCCUAACUUGGGCAGGGAAUGGGAACGCCAUUUAUUGAGCCCGUGAAAUCACUGUGUUGAUCGUUAAUGACCCUUGUUGGUAAGGUGUGAUCUUUAUUUGACAGAAAAAGACAUUGACGAACAGGUAGUCGAAAGAACUCCAGGUUGAGCAGCAUCUAACGAGUGGGCUUUGGAGCCACUUUUGGACUGUGGGCAUAGUUCCUUUUCCAUAUCACACUGGACAGGAAAGGCUCAGUAAAUGUGUGUUUAAAUAAAUCAAAGCGGCAAGAAAGCGUUGCCAGCUAGGACAACACUUGGGAAAUUUUCCCCAAAUUUUUGACCCGGCAAUUAUAAAUUUCAGAUGAGUGAUCUGACAUUUGUUAUUCUGGAAGCAGGCUCUUUAUAAAGCUUUAAAUCCAUUUUCCUUCCUUGAAGAAUUGCCGUCAGUUGGAGUAUAUUUUUACAUGAUCUUUUGCUAUCUUUGUAGGAACAGAUUAGGGUGGCGGGGAGUCCUUUAUCUACCAAAGUACUUAGAAUAAAAAUAAAAUGUUUGACUUUCAUGGAGACAGACUGAAAUAUGAAUAAUCAUGUACUUUUUGAAGUUCAUUUCUAUCCCAGAAGGCCAAGACUCCAGAUUGACCCUUUCUGCUGUCUCCAGGCUGCAAACCUCCCCCACUAAGACUUGGAAAGCAAAGGUGCUUUGGGAAUGAACCUGAUGGAUGGAGGUAUUUGUACCAUUAUUCAGGAAGGACUCUGUUUCCUCUCAAACAAAGGCCCAGGAGAUCACUGGUCAUGUUUAGAAUCCUCAACCAUUUGCCAGAAGAAACAUCUUGGAAAGAAAAGACUCUCUCACUCUCCUCACCAGAUGGAGUUCCAAGAUUGUUGGGCAAGAUGAAGGAAAUGAUCUGAUGGGCAAGAAGAGCCGUUCUCCAUAUUGAAUUUACAUGCCUUUCUACACCACCCCAAUUACUGUUAAGCCUUGAGUUUACCAUAGACCCACAGCACCUUCGCAGCAAUGAUUCACAGAUUAGAUAAGCAGGCUCACAUUGCUGGGCUAGACCGAGAUUCCUGAAAUACUCUAGAGUGCAGUUUCCAAGACACAGAUGUGCCAGUUGGACAGCUGAGGUUGCCUGUGUUGGCUUUGACUGACAUCGCCUUGCAUUCUUGUUGGUCAGCCAUGUUCCACACAUGGAAUUCACUCUUCUUUCCUUCCUAUUACAAUAGAAGGUCCCUACAGGCAGGGACCAUGUCUGUCAAGGUCAUAGACAUAAGCACUCAUCUGUGGUUCUGGAGAACACAGGCUCAAAGGUAUGAUAGACCUAGAGUUUUUAAUUCUAUGGAGCCAUUUGAAAAUCAUGUGAAUUUUACUCAAGUCUCUCAUCUAUAAAAUGGAGGUGAUAAUAUUUCUUUUCCCUCAUAAAACUACCAUGAAAAUUAAAUGAGCUCACAUUUAAGGCAUUUAGCUUGAGCCCUGGCACCCUGUAAGUACCAAGUGUGGUUGGUGAUCUGGAUGAGAAAUGUCCCCCGUGGACUCAGAUAUCUGAAAACUUGUUCCCUUGUUGACGGUGCUGUUUUGGGAAAUAGGAAGUGAGGAACUCACUGUGGGUAGGCUUUGAGAAUUCCAGAGCUGUGGAAUAAUCCUUCUGUACACUGUGAUGAUGUGUUGCUCUCAUUGUUAAGAAAAAGUGGAUUGGCCAAUGGCGAGGCAGGAUUUUCGGGGCAGAGAGAAUGCUGGGGAGAAGAAGGGCGGAGUUGGAGGAGACGCCAUGAGAUGCAGAGUGAGCAGGAUGGGAAGUAGGCACAUGAGUGAGUGGACGCAAGUAAAAAUAAUGCCUGGACCUGACCUUACUAAGAAUUCUGAGAUAUGUGAAAAUGUCACUUCCUCUCUUCUAUUUCCUGUUUCCUCAGUGGGAUUUGAUUUCCAGCCUGAGCAAAUGAGGACUUCUCUGGAGGAUACUGCCCAGUGACUCAGUUGACUUCCUGGUGCCUGCAAGAUGUGGACUCUCAGCUA